rnacentral:misc_RNA from 1 species
AUCCGCACUCCAACAUUAAAAAAAAACAGAAAUACGAGGAAGAGGGAAGAACGAGACCACCGGGUGGACGCGGGGAAGGCGCGAACGCGAGCCCCAUCAGUCGUCGCGCUUCUUGAGCUUGUCGACGCGCUGCUGCAUCUGGUCGAGCCUGACGACGAGCUGGGUGACGGAGAAGAGGAUCCAGUAGAGGAGGAGCGCGGCGGCGAUGAGGAGCGCGUUGCGCUGCGACUUCAUGACGGACUUGUGGUGGCGGAGGUGCUCGGAGGGGGUGCAGGCGUGCUCGUCGUCGCAGGUGGGCCGCGUCUCGUACUUCCAGUAGAUGUCCAUGAGCAGGAAGAGGCAGAAGGGCACCACGGACAUCAUGGGCUUGAGCGCGCUCCGCACCACGGAGACCAUGCCCCGGCGCAGGCCGUCCAGCCCCGGCAGCGUCAGCAGCAGCAGCAUGACCGCCUCCGCGCCCGCCGCGUAGCCCAGCACCACCCACUCCAGCGCCAUGGCCGGUGGAUCGAGGCCUCGAUCUGGGUCGAGCGGGAGGAGGGAACUGGGAAGAUUUGGGGAUUUGGGGAUCGGUUGCGUCGUGCAAUCUGGGUCUGGGGGCGGGAUUUCGGAUUACGGCUUUAGCGAAGAGGGAGGGCGGUGGAUCGCUGAGGUGUUUGCGUGGGACGGGUCUCUAUGGAUGCUACACGGACGACACGU